GUGGGGAAUCUUGCGCAAUGGGCGAAAGCCUGACGCAGCCAUGCCGCGUGAAUGAUGAAGGUCUUAGGAUUGUAAAAUUCUUUCACCGGGGACGAUAAUGACGGUACCCGGAGAAGAAGCUCCGGCUAACUUCGUGCCAGCAGCCGCGGUAAUACGAAGGGGGCUAGCGUUGCUCGGAAUUACUGGGCGUAAAGGGCGCGUAGGCGGACAGCUUAGUCAGAGGUGAAAGCCCAGGGCUCAACCUUGGAAUUGCCUUUGAUACUGACUGUCUUGAGUUUGGGAGAGGUGAGUGGAACUCCGAGUGUAGAGGUGAAAUUCGUAGAUAUCCGGAGGAACACCGGUGGCGAAGGCGGCCACCUGGACAGGUACUGACGCUGAGGCGCGAAAGCGUGGGGAGCAAACAGGAUUAGAAACCCUAGUAGUCC
rnacentral:rRNA from 1 species